rnacentral:lncRNA from 1 species
UCAUGGGUAGGUGCUUACUGCUAAUCUUCUUCAAAUUUAUUUAUUAGUUGCUCGUACUGUCAGCAUUAUGUUAGCCAAAUUUGUUUGUGCUGAGAGUUUUCUGUUUACAGGAAGCUGAGGCGAGGGCAAGUAGGUCCCUGAGGAGGACCAUGCAAAGGAGGUCAAGGAGAUUCUGGGGGCAGCCUGCGAGCAACCUCUAGACCAGCCAGCAGGGACCUCUGACAAUGCCGCUGCCGGUGUCGACGCUGGCAGCCAUGGCCGGCGCCGAGCUGACGAGUUCCAACCUGGAAGCUCAGCGCGAGGGGCUGGCAUUUGUUGCCGGCUUCGUGGCAUACAAGUGUCACCACAUCGACGCCACCCUCGGUAGCCGGUCUCCUGACUUCUCGGGCGCCGCUGGAGACACUGAACACCCUGCCGAACAGCUGAAUUGUGACGAUCAGCCGAGGCCAGCUGUUUGUUCUGUCACAAGCCUGGAUGGCCGCUGUGGAGGAGUUCGAGCGGAACUUCUGCCUGCUGAUGGGGGCAAGUGCAGAUCAGGGGCCGCGAGUCAUAUAGCGUCUCAAGCUGUUCAUUGCCGUCAAGCAGCCUCAGCUCGGCACCCGCGUGUCCAGGAAGUUGGUGAGCACCCGUCUUCACCUCCCCCUUCGGUCCCUUAGCCUGACUGGACGAGGUCCGGCAGCUGAAAAGAGCCGAUAGAAAAGUUGGCCAUCAUGCAAGGAGCUCUAGGUGAGCUGGUAAACCGGCUCG